rnacentral:tRNA from 1 species
AUAUAGCUCAUUGGUAGAGCAUUCGCUUUGCAUGCGAAAGGCCCCCAGGUUCGAUUCCCGGCAU